UGCCAGCAGCCGCGGUAAUACGGGGGGGGCAAGCGUUAUUCGGAAUUACUGGGCGUAAAGGGCGCGCAGGCGGGUUGUUAAGUGAGAAGUGAAAGCCCCGGGCUCAACCUGGGAACAGCUUCUCAGACUGGCAGCCUUGAGUGUGGGAGAGGAAGACGGAAUUCCCGGUGUAGCGGUGAAAUGCGUAGAGAUCGGGAGGAACACCAGUGGCGAAGGCGGUUUUCUGGACCACAACUGACGCUGAGGCGCGAAAGCGUGGGGAGCAAACAGGAUUAGAUA
rnacentral:rRNA from 1 species